rnacentral:rRNA from 1 species
AGUGAACGCUGGCGGUAGGCCUAACACAUGCAAGUCGAACGGCAGCACAGUAAGAGCUUGCUCUUACGGGUGGCGAGUGGCGGACGGGUGAGGAAUACAUCGGAAUCUACUUUUUCGUGGGGGAUAACGUAGGGAAACUUACGCUGAUACCGCAUACGACCUACGGGUGAAAGCAGGGGAUCUUCGGACCUUGCGCGAUUGAAUGAGCCGAUGUCGGAUUAGCUAGUUGGCGGGGUAAAGGCCCACCAAGGCGACGAUCCGUAGCUGGUCUGAGAGGAUGAUCAGCCACACUGGAACUGAGACACGGUCCAGACUCCUACGGGAGGCAGCAGUGGGGAAUAUUGGACAAUGGGCGCAAGCCUGAUCCAGCCAUACCGCGUGGGUGAAGAAGGCCUUCGGGUUGUAAAGCCCUUUUGUUGGGAAAGAAAAGCAGCAGGUUAAUACCCCGCUGUUCUGACGGUACCCAAAGAAUAGGCACCGGCUAACUUCGUG